rnacentral:lncRNA from 1 species
GUAGCAGAACUCCAUGUUCUAAUAGCCCCGGCAAAGUUGUUUUUAAUACUUUUUCUCUACGAAUUUUCAUUAAAAUUUAAUUCCAUUUUAACUUUGUCAAUUUUCCCCAAAGAUAAAUUAAGACACACAGAGAGAUUGUCAUUUCCUGUUUGAAGUCUCAUUCCUGUGUACAAUGUCAGUCUUUUUUAUUUAGGCCUAUGCCAUUCCAUCAGGGUAAAUAACUUUCUAACUAGUCAUUUAAGAGCAACUCCCGGGAAACUGUGAUGCAAUCCCACAUAUCAGCCAGACUUCAAAAGCUGCCAGAUUAUUGUGAAAGGAGAAACACUGUUUUCGAAGGCUGCUGAUAAUGCCUAUUAGCCAGAAGAAAGAGCCUGAAUCAUUCAAAGGUUUUCCAUCUAGUAAAGAAGUGUGGUAAAAAUCUUGCCCAGAUCUGCAUGUGCUAAGCAUCUACGUAAGUUGGAGCAUCAUAUUAAUGACACCCAGUGAAGAAACGAAAGAUCUAGGUAAAAAUGUGAACAGAUUGGGAGGCUGAGGCAGGAGAAUCACUUGAACCCAGGAGGCAGAAGUUGCAGUGAGCCAAGAUUGCACCAUUGGACUCCAGCCUGGGCAACAGACAAGACUCUAUCUCAAAAAAAAAAUGUGAACAGAUAUAUUGACAUAAAAUUCAUAAAACAUAUGGAUAUACUAAAAACUAGGAAGUCUGGUUGCUUCUGAGGAUAAGAGUUGAGGACCUGUUUCAAGAAUACUUUGCACAGCUUGUACUAUUGCAGUAUUUGAAUUUUUUCUUGUACAUGUAUAACUUUUUUAAAAAGAAUGAGAAAUGCUGUACAAGUGCAACUAUUUUUACUGUAAGUUUUUAUUUCCAUAAAACUAUAAUUAAGUGUGUGGUCAAUAGAUCCUGUUAUAUAGCUAUGAUAUCCCUUGAAUUUGUUUACCUGGUAACACUAGCUCACGUUUGUAAAUCCUUUGGAACUCCCAAAGCGAUUUUACAUACAUUACCUAAUUUGUAAGAUUACAAAACUAUUACAUUAGCUUUUCUGGUUUUCUUGUCUUAAUACGUGAUUAUCAUAUUAAACUGCAGUGUUUUUUUUUUUCCAUCAAGUCACACACACAAAACAGGAAACCAGCAGUUGUAAUUUCUUCAGCAAUUCUUAAUGUAAGUUUUUAAUAGUUUAGUACUUUUCUUUCAUAAGUAUUGGACCAAGCUGUAAUGGAAUUAUACGACUCAUGCUUUCAGAACAGAGCCUUCUGUUACUCGUGUUUUUAUCCUGAUGGCCAUAUGACCAUGUGAAGUUCCAUCAUGAUUCUGUUGGAUGUUACCUUUGUCUUAUCCACUGAACUCAAGCCAGGGUGUUGGAGAAUUCAAUAGCUGAGUCUGAGGGUAAAUUAAAAUACCAGUCAAAAUUAAAUGGACUGUGUGAAACAGGAGUGAGCUUACAGGUUAUUAUGAGAUUUGUCCUGCCCAGUUUAAUACAACCCCUUCUCUGCUGAAGGGUAAGUAGGAAGGCUUUUCAUACAAAUAGAAGACCAGGUCAAAAAAAAAUCCACUCCUUUUCCUUCUGCUUGGCUUACUGGACUUGUAGGCAGACCUAGUUUUCCUACUGUAUUAAUGGCUAUGGAGCUGAAUUUCUUUGCAAUAGAAGUUGUUAUUUGAGUUUAGCAACAUUGAUAAAAUUGGCUCAUCAAACCGUUUUAUAUUGAAAAGGGCUUCAUGGACAGUGACCUGCUGUGAGUUGGCUGACAGCUGAAAUGAUGAACAAUACUGUUUAGUUCUGCCCAUCGUGCCUGCCAGAGACUAAGAAUAACUUGACCAGUAAGGAGGGUGGAUCUUUGUUAGCUGUUCUGCAUUAUUUCUUCCAAUUUAGUAUUUAACCCCAAGAAAGAAUCAAUCGCAUGUGGGUGGCUAUUCAUUGUAAUAUUUAAAGGUAAAGUAGCACAGUGGUCAAGGGUGAAGGCUAGGAGUCAGACUUGAAUUCAAAUGCCAGCUCCACCCUUUACCACACAUGGGAACAUGGGCAAGUUACUUCACUUCUUUAACCAUCAGUUUCCUCAUUUCUAAGACAAAUCUUGUUGGAAUGACUUUUUUUCAAAAUGAAUUAAGUGUAUAGUAGAGGGCCUAUAGUUUUAUAUGGUUUAUAUAAUUACUAAAACUUUUUGUAUAUGAUUAUAAUAACUACAUACAAAAUGUCAUGGCAAAUGCAUAAAAACUGACUAUUGACUAUGCUAUCCCCCACUCCACUCCCCACCAUUCAUUCCUAAGCCCACUCCAGUCAGGCAAUCUGCCAUUCCACUGAUACUACACUUGACAAGGUCACCAAUGACAUUUACACUGCUAAAUGCAGUGGCCAGUUCUCAGUCUUCAUCAGAGUUGAGCACUCAGCAGCCUUUGGAAAAGUUAAUCUUGCAUUCCACUGCCUGCCCUUUUUUGUUUUCCUAAUCUCUAAACAUUGGAGGGCUCCAGGGCUCCAUCCUCUGGCCUCUUCUCUAUCCAUAACCCCUCCCCUGGUGACCUCAUCUAAUCUUGGAGAUUUACUAUCAUGUAGAUGCUACUGACUUCUCAAAUAUAUAUUUCCAGUUCACAUCUCUCCUGUGAGUUCCAGACUUGUUUAUCCAGAUGCCUGUUCAAUUUCUGCUUGAAUGUCUUAGGUAGUUUCUCAAACUUGGCAUGUGAAAAACUGAACACCUUGAUUUUCCUAAAAAUCUGUUUCUCUAUCAUUUAGCUGCUCAGCUAAAAACUUUGGAGUUAGACAUAUGGACAGCCCACCCCAAGGGAAGAAUCAGAGGAGAAGGGACACAAGACCCCAGAAACACACAAAGCACCUUAAUAUGCAUGCUGCAUCUCUCUAAAAUUGUGGAACCUGUUUACCUGCUCUGGAGAAUGGCUGCCUGUGGCAGACAUAGGAGUUGUCCUCAUGCUGUGCUUCCUAUCUUCCACAGUAAUUGACUUGUAGCUGCAAUACAGUUACCAACCAGGAAUACAAUUUCUCAGCCCCAUGUCUUGCACCUACAGCUAAGUGUGGCCAUGUGACCAGUUUUCACCAAUUAAGUGUGAAUAGCAACAAAGUGCACCACCUUCAAUUGGAGGCUUUGAAGAAGCAGGGCAGCCUUCCCUUGCUCUCUUUCCCCUUGUUCUGGUGGGAUACAGAUGACAAUAAGGCCCUGGGUUUUGAGGUAGCCACAAGAUGCAAAAUACCUCAGACCUGAGUCACCACAAGGAAGAGAGAAGCCCACUGACAUGGAAUACCCAGCCUAGUCUACAGAUGAAUAAGAAAUAAACUUCUAUUAUGUUCGAACAUUACAGAUUUUGUUCUGUUAUAGCAGUUUAUCUCACCCUGACUAAACUGUUGCCUAUCUUCCAAGAUAGGCCCUCCUUCCCUGAAAGUGACUUUUUCAUACAUGUAAUCUGUAUUUUAAUUCAUAUUCUCCAAAGCAUAUCCACAUCUAUUCAACUAUUUUCAUGUCUUCCAUCAAUAAAAACCUCAUAUAAAUAUAUACGAGGUUUUUUUUUUUUUUUUUAAGACACUUUGGAGUUAUCCUUGACCCUGUCCUCUUUUCUCAUACCCAUAUACGAACCAUUAAGAAAUCUUGUUGCCUCAACCUUCAAAAUCUAUCCAGGAUUUAACCACUAAUCAACCCCUUCUCCUCUGUCAGUCUGUCCUCCUAGAUUUCAUCUUGACCAUCCUUAGAAACUCCUAACCAGUCUUAUUGCUUUCGCCAUUGUACAUCCAGACUAUUCUCAAAUGGCAACCAAUGAGAUCGUGCUGCACUUCUGCUCAAAACCUGCAAAUGGCUUCCUACCUCACUUAGGGUAAAACCAAAUGGGGCCUGCACAAUCUGGCUUCACCUCCUAGUGCUUUCCUCCUUGCUCAUUCAGCCCAGCCACACUGCUCUUCUUGCUUUUCCAUGAACAUGCUAGACACACUCUCACGUUUGGGCUUUUGCACUUGUUUCCCUUCCCAGAAUGCUCUCCUCGUGGAUACGCACAUAUCCAGCCCCUUAUCUCCUUCAAAUUUUAGUUCAAAUGCCACUUUCUCAAUGAGGGUUUUCUAACCAGCCUAUUUAAACUUACAGUCUCCCAUUGUCUAAAGCCUUGUCUCCCUUCCUGCUUUACUUUUCUUCAUAGUAAUUACCACCAUCUGACUUAUAUUUGCUUGCCUUUCUUGUUGAUUUUCUGUUUUACCCACUCAAAUGUAGUCCAUAAGGGAAGGGAUUGUUGUUUCAUUUGUUCACUUCUCUAUCCCCUGGGCCUGAGCCUGGCUUUGGGUAGGCACUCAGUUAAUGUUUGUGUAAAUUAAUAAAUGAAUGAAUGACAUUUACUACCUUAUAUGGUACUAUAAUAUAAAAGCAUAUGAUGCAGAGAAUUAGGAAUCUAGAAACUAGUUUUGACUCAGCAUCCUAUGUACAAGGUUAUGUAGACAAGUCAUUUCACCUCUCUGAGCCUCAUUUUUCUAAUAUUUAAAAUCUACCCUCCAGAGCUGUAAAGUGUUCAAAUAUAGAUUAUCUUAUGGAGUGCAGUCUCAUGCUUGCACAAUGAAAGAAGUUAAUUUCUACAUACCUUCCAUGUACCCACAAUCAAUGGUUUAUGUAAACCUCACCUCAGGAAAAUUAAGUUCUGUAUGAGCAGAUUUUUUUUUAAAUUGCCACUGAAAUAAAUACCAAAUUAAGCCAAAUAAAUACCAAAACAGACUUUGCAUUUUUCAUCUUUAGCCAAGCUCCUCUGGUUUGCAUACUCAUAAUAUAAUUCAAAUGACCAUUUUUGGAGUUUUGAUUUUUAGUGCUCUUUUUCUCUGCUAGGAGAAAUGAAUAUCUGAUGCUUUGUUUUUCCAAAUUGUUGUAUGAAAACUGAGUAAUGCUAUAAAGCUUUUUAAAUAUUUUAGAGGUAUAGCAAGUGAACUAUUUUAUAAGUUUCUGGGAUUUUUGAAAAUAUUUUUUAUUUUUAAUUUUUACUGAGACAGGGUCUUGCUCUGUUGCCCAGGCUGGAGUGCAGUGGUGUGAUCUCAGCUCACUGCAGCCUCUGCUGCCCAGGUUCAAGCGAUUCUCAUGCCUCAGCCUCCCAAGUAGCUGGGACUACAGUCCUGUGCCACCAUGCCUGACUAAUUUUUUUUGUAUUUUUAGUAGAGAUACGGUUUCGCCAUGUUGGCCAGUCUGGUCUCGAACUCCUGACCUCAAGUGACCUGCCCACCUCAGCCUCCCAAAGGGCUGGGAUUACAGGCAUGAGCCACUGCACCCAGCCUGAACAUAUUUUUUAUGUUCAAUAUAAUGUUGACUACCUAGUAAAGUCAUAUUUGUUCAAAUUCCCCUGAUUUAUUUUCUAAUGAAUACCUCGAUAUUUCUCUUAUAUGCUGGUCACUUAUCAAAUGAUUCCCAGUGAACACUUUUGAUUGAUUAAUGUAUAACUUGAUCAGGUACUGAAUUUGCAUUUGCUUAGUAAGGCCCACCUUGAAAAAUAGUGCAAAUAAUUUAUUCAGGUCAGAUAGGGAGAAAGAAAUCAUAAAAAUACUAAACCAAACAAACUUUAGAAGUGGCUGUUAAUAGAUAAGAUUUUCAAGGCCCAUGAUAAAGGGAUUCUAGUUCUAGAUCUGCUUUCCAUAUUCUUCAAUUCCAAGGGACAUCUUCAGCGUAGCUCCUGACUGGCCUGGCUAACGCUUCGUGCAUCCUUUCUUGAGCUUUGAAGUUUGUCCUGUUUGCCCCUCAAUCCUCAUAAGGUCUCCUUGUGCAUGUGCCCCUCCCUGAGUUUGUGUGUGAGUUGCUGUCUCAUUCCUGGUCUAUGUUCCCUAUGUUUUUAUUUCCUAUCUUUUAGUAUGUAAGUAGGUAGAUAGACAGAUUGACUGAUGAUUGAUUGAUAGAAAUAGAUAUAUAAUUUAUUUUCCCAUGGGUAGAUCUUUAAGGUUUUCAGGCAUGGGAGUAAGAUAACCACCCUAUCCCUCUGUGUGGUGGAAUAGGGUAGAGUAUGGCUGUGGCCAGAGAGACAACAGAACAGUGUAAGAAAGUGUAAAAGUCUUGAACUAUAGCAUAGAUACGCAAGAAAUAAAUGAAAAUGCUGCUGUUUAAUGUGCUGUUUGCAAUUUUUAAAAGUCUAUCAGUGGGAGAAUUGAAUAGGUAAAUAAAGUUUUCAUUGUUAACUUUGUAACAAUAAGUUUCUGAUAAUCUGUAACACAACAAUAAAGUAAGAAAGCUCAAAAGUAUUCUCAAAUUUCCCCAUCAGGGAAUAAUUUCUUCCUGAAUAUCACUCACAGCUCCCUGGAAUAAUAAUACAGUAUAACCUUUUUAUUCAAUUGACACCUAUGAGCCAAUUUCUAUUGUUUCUCAACCAACCCUCCUACUCUUCACCAGUCUGUGUUGGGGCCAUAUCUAUGUAUUCACAUACAUAGUAUUCUUUUCUUACAUCUAUCCUAGAAUAUGUAUGUAUAACACCAUAAUACAAGUCAACUGUCUCUUAUCUGCAACCACAAAUCCAUAAAGCUCUGAAAACCAGAAGUUUGUUUUAUGAUUGGUACCAAAAUUUAUUUUGUGCAAAACCUGGCUUGAACAGACAUGAGGCUUGCUAGCUGAUAUGCCCCACUAGAUGGUGAGCUUUAUGGAGGCAGUCUUGAUUCCUCCUGUCUGCCUGGUAUCUAGUGAAUCUCAACAAAUAUCAAAUAUUUGGAAUAAGCAAAUGAAUAUUUUCUAUCAAUUUAAUAUAUUUGAAUUUAUUAGUCUUCCUCUGUUGUUCUUAUUUGUUUUUUGAGACGGAAUCUCACUCUGUCACCCAGGCUGAAGUGCAAUGGCAUGACCACAGCUCACCGCAGCCUCAAACUCCCAGGCUCCAACAAUCCUCCUGCCUCAGCCUCUUGAGUAGCUGAGACUACAGGCACACACCACUGCACUCAGCUAAUUUUUGUGUUUUUUUGUAGAGAUGGGGUUUCGCCAUGUUGGCCAGGCUGGUCUUGAACUUGGCUCAAGGGAACCACCCACCUCAGCCUCCCUAAGUGUUGGGAUUACAGACAUGAGCCACUGCGCCUGGCCUCUGUUCUUAUUUUUUAAAUGUUAAAACUUUGAGAAAACAAGAGUUAGGGCUAAUAAGUGCUUUUCAAAAAUUUAUUUUUAAACUGAAAAUAUAAACAUUUGGUCAGAUUGAAAAAUCAAUGAUGGAACCAAGAAUAAUAUAGUGUUUCCUGAGUUUUAGAUUAGUAUUUUCUUACCUAGAUAAGACUAGUAUUAUGAAUGCCAGAUAAUUCCAAGGCCAAGAAAAACAACUUUCUUUAAAAUCUAUUAAAAUGUUAUGAGUGAAAAUGAUGAAAAUAACGUUAUUUUACUCCUGUGCCUGAAAACACUUAAGGGGUCCCCACUGGGGAAAAAUAUGAAUCAAUAUCUACAUAUGUAUAUAUUUACUUAUACAUAUAUUAUACCACUAAAAAAUCAGAAAUAAGAAGGUAGGGCAGAUAGAUCAAGAAUGACAUAGCAACUUACAUACGAACUUAGGUAGGAGAACUUGUAAAUGUAUUUUGAAUAUUUGAUGCUUCUCCAGAUUCUUUCACCUUUUCUUUAUACAUGCUUUUAUGUGGGUUCACAUAUAUAAAAAUUAUGUAUAUUGUAUACAAGUUUGUAUUUUUUUCUACAUUUUGAGGAAAUUUUGAGGAAGCAAACUUCUGCUUUAUGAAACAUCCACUCAUGACAUCAAUAAUUGCCAAGUAGAAUCUUUUUCAUAAAACACUCAUGACCUAAAUUGAAAAACAUAAAAGUUUUAUUGAAGUUACAAAUGUCAGGACACAAGUACUGUUAUCAAAUAUUAGAAUUAUGAUAUACCAUAACAUCUAUUAUUCUGCCUUGCAUUAUCAUUCUAAAUUUUGUAAAUAUUUGUUGGGUCAUAAAGAAAUAAAUUUCUCUUUGAGCCAUCUAACUUACUUCCUUCUAAUAUCCAAUUUAUUGAAUAGGAUGCCAUUCUAUUUCCUCCGAUGAAUUUUCAUCUGAUGUCCAUUUGCAGUUCACCCUUAAACAACAUGGAUUUGAACCGCAUGGGUCUAUUUAUACGUGAAUUUUUUUUAGUAAAUAUAUUGAAAAAUUUUUUGGAGAUUUGCAACAACUUGAAAAAACUUGCAGACAAACUGCAUAGCAUAGAAAUACUUUCGAAAAUUUUUUUUUGGCCGAGCGCGGUGGCUCAGGCCUGUAAUCCCAGCACUUUGGGAGGUCGAGGCGGGCAGAUCACCUGAGCUCGGGAGUUUGAGACAAGCCUGGCCAACAUGGUGAAACCCCGUCUCUACUAAAAAUACAAAAAUUUACCGGGCAUGGUGGUGGGCGCCUGUAGUUCCACCUACUCGGGAGGCUGAGGCACGAGAAUCACUUGAACCCGGGAGGCGGAGGUUGCAGUGAGCCGAAAUAGCACCACUGCACUCCAGCCUGGGUGACACAGCCAGAUUCCGUCUCAAUAAAUAAAUAAAUAAAUAAAUAAAUAAAUAAAUAAAUAAAUUUUAAAGUUAGGGCCAGGCACGGUGCUUCACACUUACAAUCCCAGCACUUUGGGAGGCUGAAGCGGAAGGAUCAUUUGAGCCCAGGAGUUUGAGACCAGGAGUUUGAGACCAGGAGUUUGAGACCAACCUGAGCAACAUAGUGGUACCCCAUUGCUACAAAAAAAUAAAAAGUAAAAAGUUAGCAAGCUGUGGUGGCACUCCUGAAGUCCCAGCUCCUCAGGAGUGGGAGGAUCACUUGAGCCUGGAAGGUUGAGGCUGCAGUGAUCCUUGAUCGCAAACACUGUGCUCUAGCCUGGGUGACAGAAUGAGACCCUGUCUCAAAAAAAAAAAAAAAAGAAAAAAGAAAAAAAGAAAAGAAAAGAAAAAAAUAGGAAUAGAAAAAGUUGGGUAUGUCAUGAGUGCAUAAAUACAUAAAUAUGUGUAGCCACUAAUCUAUUUUAUCAUUUACUGCCAUGAAAUACUUGAGUCGGCCAAACCAACCCCUUCUCUUCCUCUUCCUCUUCAGCCUACUCAACAUGAAGACAAUGAGAAUUAAGACUUUAUUAUUAUCCACUUCCACUUAAUGAAUAGUAAAUAUAUUUUUUCUUAUGAUUUUCAUAAUAUUUUACUUUCUCUAGCUUACUUUAUUGUAAGAAUACAGUAUAUAAUACAUGCAAUAUACAAAAUAUGUGUUAAUUAACUGUUUAUGUCAUUGGUAAGGCUUCUGGUCAACAGUAGCCUACUAGUAGUUAAUUUUGGGCGGAUCUAAAAGUUAUACAUGGGUAAUUGACCAUGUAGAAGUCGGCACACCUAACACCCAUGUUAUUCAAAGGAUUCAUGGGUCAACUGUAUUUCACUAUUUUUAUCUAUUUGUAAAUUAUUAAUAAUUGCUUUAUGUAUAAAAACAACAGCUGUCUCAUCAUCAUUAUAAUGUCAAUUGUUCCAUCCUUAUACUAUUAAUAUGAUAAAUAUACAUUUAUACUUCAAAUGACAGAAAAGUAGGCAUUAAUCAGCAAAGCAGUUCAGGAAAAUUAAUCUGGCAGGACUGAAUAAAAUGGGCUUGAAGAAAGUAGGCUUAAAGCAGAAAUAUAUUGGCUAGGACUCCAUUGCCAUUAUCUAAACAAGAAUUAAUGAGUUUCCUAACUGGGAAUGAAAUAGAAGAAAUGGAAAGAAGGGACAGUUUUAAAAUGUAAUGAAGGGAAAAUUGAUGCAAUUGGAUAACUGGUUGAAUAUAAGAAGCAAGACAGACUAUCAUAAUUGUUAGAUAUUUCAGAUAAUGUGGGCAUGAAAGAAAGAGAUGCCAAGAUGGUAGUAGGUAGUAGAGAGAAGGCCAAGGAAAUACUUGUAUUUCCUGAAGUUGGGAAAUACUUAUACUUGAAGAGUGUAGAAAGGAAGGAAUCAGCAGAGAGAGCUAAGGAGAAGCAAAAGAACAAUUUCACAAAAACAUGGAUUUAAAGAAGUAGUGGGCAGCAAUAUUCAGUGCCGCAGAAAAGGCUCUAGAUUUUAUGAGUAGGAAGUCUCGUGACCUUUAAGAGCACAGGGUUCCAUAGAAGGGUGAGGACAGAAACGAAAUUUGAAAGGAUUAAGGAAUGAGUGAAGUAUAAGAAAAUGUGACAGUAUUUUUUCAAAAUGAAUAAUCAAGCAAUGAAACAUGGAGGAACCUCAAAUGCAUGCCACUAAGUAAAAGAAGCCAGUGUGAAAAGGCUGCAUGACUGUAUGAUUCGAGCUACAUGGCAUUCUGGAAAGGGCAAGCCAUGGAGACAAUGAAAAGAUCAACGGCUGCCAGGGAUUGCAGGGAGGAAAGGAUAAACAGGCAGAGCACAUCAAAUUUUUAGGGCAGGGAAACUAGUCUGUAUUAUACUAUAAUGGUGGGUACAUGUCAUUAUGCAUUUGUCAAAACCUGUAAAAUGUACACCAAAAGUCAACUCUAAUGUACAUUAUGGACUGAGUGAUUAUGAUGUGUCAGUGUAGUUCAUUGGUUGGAACAAAUGUACUCUGGUGGGAGACGUUAAUAGUAGAUGUUGGCCGGGCAUGGUGGCUCACGCCUGUAAUCCCAGAAUUUUGGGAGGCCGAGGAGGGUGGAUCACGAGGUCAGGAGUUCAAGAGCAGCCUGGCCAAGAUGGUGAAACCCUGUCUCUACUAAAAAUACAAAAAUUAGCCCAGCAUGGUAGCAGGCGCCUGUAAUCCCAGCUACUUGGGAGGCUGAGGCAGAGAAUCACUUGAACCCGGGAGGCAGAGGUUGAGUGAGCCGAGAUCACGCCAUUGCACUCCAGCCUGGCAAUAGAGUGAGACUCCAUCUCUAAAUAAAUAAAUAAAUAAAUAAAUAAAUAAAUAAAUAAAUAAAUAAAAUGAAGUCAAUUUUAAAAGAAUGUAUAACCAUUUUUAUUAAUAUAAACUUCUGUGUUACAUACAUGUAUUACUUUUAUUGUAUCAUUUUAUAGCCCUUAAAAAUUUCAACAAAAUGUAAAAAUGUAUUUUUGUGACCAAUGAAAUAAGUGGAGUAAAGUGAUAUUGUUCAGCUAAAUAUAUGAUAGAUAUAAGAAUUUAGUUACAUUUCUGGAAUGACAGAGUGGUGAUGAAUUUUAUAGCAUUAUGACGUAAGUAAGAAAUGUUAGGUCUGUCUUCGGAUGUCUAUUGUAUGUUCCAGUUAUUUAUUGCUGUGUGUAACACACCACACCAAAACUUAGUAGCUUAAAACAGUCAUUUAUUGUUAUGUUCCAUUUUUCUGGGGGUUGACGAAGCUGAGCGUUACUCACUUUUGUGUCCUUCAAAUGGUUGCAGAAAUAUGACAGAUGAGGCUGGAAUUCUGAAAGCUUCUUUACUCACAUGCCUGGCUCCUAGACUAGAAUAGCUAGAAUACCUGUGGGCUGGUCAGGAUUUCUCCCUCUUUUGUCUCUCCACAUAGCCAUAGUGUGGCUUGGGUUUCAAACAGCGUGGCAUUUCAAGACCAGGAAUUCCAGGAGACCCAGGUAGAAGCUUCAAAGUGUGGGAAGUGUUGGAAGUCAUACAGCGUCACUUCCACUAUAUUCUAUUUGGCAAAUCUGUCACAAAUGAGCCCAGAUUCAAGGGAGUAGAGCAAUAGAUAGAUACAGGGAGGAGAGAAAUUGAUGGUAGCCAACUGAAAACAAGAAACAAGCUACCACAAUCUAUUUAGGGGAUAUUUAUAAAAACAUAGAGACACACAUGCACAAACAACACACACGUACACACAUACAUGCAGAUAAAUACAUUUUUAUGAAAAAAUUAAGAAUUAUUAUGAAUGUUCAAGUAUACAAUAAUAUGCAAAGGGAAAACCUUAAUAAUUAAAGUAGGAAAUGAGACUAACUCUGAGAAGAGUAAUCAAAGACAUUGUAUUUUUUUUUCAG